rnacentral:rRNA from 1 species
AUUGAACGCUGGCGGCAUGCCUUACACAUGCAAGUCGAACGGCAGCACGGGAGCAAUCCUGGUGGCGAGUGGCGAACGGGUGAGUAAUAUAUCGGAACGUGCCCAGUCGUGGGGGAUAACGUAGCGAAAGCUACGCUAAUACCGCAUACGAUCUAUGGAUGAAAGCGGGGGAUCGCAAGACCUCGCGCGAUUGGAGCGGCCGAUAUCAGAUUAGGUAGUUGGUGAGGUAAAGGCUCACCAAGCCGACGAUCUGUAGCUGGUCUGAGAGGACGACCAGCCACACUGGGACUGAGACACGGCCCAGACUCCUACGGGAGGCAGCAGUGGGGAAUUUUUGGACAAUGGGCGCAAGCCUGAUCCAGCAAUGCCGCGUGCAGGAUGAAGGGCCUUCGGGUUGGUUAAACGUAGUCUUUU